GCGGUGGCGCGGGGCGGGGGCAGAGGGCGGGGUUGUGGCGUAGCGGCGUCCCGCGGUUCCGAAGGUUUGUGGGCGUGAUAUGUUGGGCGUGGGACAGGUGACGGCAAAGGUCGCAAGGCUGGAAUGAAGCCGCCGUCCGCUGCAAGCAAGCCUUGAGCGGUCACGAAGGCUCCCCGUUGCUCAAUGCAAACAGCUCGGUGCUGGGUGCUUGGGCAAUGCCUGCAAUUCAGCGCCCAGAAAGUCUGGAAGAUUAGCCGAGCCGAUCCUCGGUGUCAUUUGCGGCGUAACAGGUGCAGAAUCGAAACCGGCCUUCAGGCUGUGAGCUUAAGGGUAACACAAACCAGCACAAACAGCAGAGCCACCUGUAAGGCACCGCAGCUGUCAGAAAAACGCGACGCAAAACCAACGUGCUGAAAAUUGAAUCCCCUGCAUGUAUAUAUAUAUGAGUGUUCAGUUGUAGUGCUCAGAUAACCAUUCACUUUCCCUUCCAUGCUGUGCUUGCUGCACACACAGUGCUGGAGAAGUAUCCUCCUCUCAGAGUAGAUCAAGAUAGAUUGGAAGUGAUUGCCAAACGAGCCGUACUUCUGAAGGUGUUGGCACAGGUGAGAACAGCUGUGAGAUGGAGGAACAGAAGCUGGCAUCCUCUGUUCUCUUCAACAACUAUACUAAGUCUGUUUUGUUGAUUGUGGGCAUGAAGGAGCACACAGGCUGUAGGUUCAGCAGAUAUGGUCUGCAUAUUCAAAGUGUAAGCAACCAAAAAGAUGAGGGUUUAGGCACUAUUCCCUUACUUGGGCAUCCAUACUAAUAUCCUUUCUACUAAGUUUCAAAAGGUCCCUGGCUGGCUGUGAUUGCAGUUACUGGCUCAUAUAUUAUACUGUAAGGAUGCACCAUUGGAUAGCAAUGCUGGUAAAUAAGCACUUUGCUUAUUGGAGGACACAGAGGAAGAUCAACAGAUUUUCUAUUUGGGUUACAAAUCCUAUGCCGAAAUAGUGUUAUCUAUUCAGAUCUUGUAUGUGUAUUGGAAUUGUGUGAUAUUUGUUAAGCACCUAAAUAACAUAGUUCUGCAUUACAACAUAGUCUAAUUCUGAGUCAGUUUCACUCACGUGUACAUCAUAGCACAGAAGAUGGAGUGACUUAAAAUAUUUAUAGUAUUGUGCUGUAACAUAUCUUAAUGCAAUCCCUGCAUUUACAUUUCAUUUAGCUGUUAUCCUGCCCUUAGGGAAAUCUCUUUUGCCUAAGAAUGCACAUCCUCUGUAACAAAAAGGAUCAUAAAAACAACAACAACAAAAAAGAACAGUAGCAAUAUUCAUAGAAGGAAGAAAUACUUCAAAAUUCACCAUUUUAUGAUGGGGAACUUCAGAAGAUGAAUGGCAGUUUUCCAGUGGCCUGGGAAAAGCAAACCAAAAUAAACUCCAGGGAAAUAAAUGAUUCUGAUAGAGUCAUGGUUAAAAAUGAGGAGAGCUUUGCCCCAAAUUGAAGUUCAGCAGAAACUCAAAGCCCCAUGACUUGAAAGCAAAUCAAAAGUGGAAGAAUGGUCUUUUGAUCAAGGCACUGACCUGAGAGCAAGUACAGGUUCAUGUCUUUGCUCUGCUGCAGACUUCCUGUCUUUGUAUCUGCUGUCUCUGUGCUGCUGUGCUUUCUUUUUUUUAUGUAGUGAGACUGAUAACAUCUAAAUUGCACGCUGCCUCAGAUGGGGCUAUCUUUGACUCUGCUGAGAAGUGAAUAGUUCAGUGAGGGCUCACUGGUAUGGUAUCAUGGUGCCAUGGCAAUGCUGAACACAUUGGCAGAAACACUUCUCAGUCAAAAUGUUUCUGAUUUUGACAUGUUUUUUUUUUUGCAAUGAUGUGUCACAGUUUCACUUCACAAUGCAACUUCUCAGCAAGUUUCUAAACCGAAGAUUUUUGCAUUGGAAAGAUCUAAGUGAAGUGAGUUAAAAUGGUUCAUGAAAAUGUAUCGACCUCCUCAUAUUCUAAGGUGUGUUGUGAAAACAGUUCGCUGUGGGUGGGACAGAAAGAUUUCCUUCAAAUUUACCAGUCUCUUUUGCACCCUUGCAAAGAAAUGUGAGCCUUAGUAAAUCUAAAUAUUUUAGAAUAUGUUGCUUCAUGAACAACGGAGGGAUUUUUGACAUUUUGCUUUGACAUGUGGUUAAAAAAACUGUAUAAAGUCUAUGAAUUUCUUCUCCAACAUAUGUUCCAUGUUUUAAGCAGCAUUACUGCACAAUGUCCACCGAGAUCACCAUUUUAAUAAAAAUGUCUUCCAAGCUUUAAUUCCACUGUUAUUAAUUCAAAAAACCUCUCAGAAGUUCAGUGUUCAUAAAAGAAAAAUCUUCUUGUGCUCACCGAUAUAGAAAUGUAAUCCUUCUAAUACUGCAGCACUGAAUAACGAGGAGCCAAAAACUGCAGAUCUAAUUACUGGGCAUCACUG
ensembl:lncRNA